UAGGGAAUCUUCCGCAAUGGGCGAAAGCCUGACGGAGCAACGCCGCGUGAGUGAUGAAGGUCUUCGGAUCGUAAAACUCUGUUAUUAGGGAAGAACAAAUGUGUAAGUAACUAUGCACGUCUUGACGGUACCUAGAUAAGAAGCACCGGCUAACUACGUGCCAGCAGCCGCGGUAAUACGUAGGGUGCGAGCGUUGUCCGGAAUUACUGGGCGUAAAGGGCUCGUAGGUGGUUUGUCGCGUCGUCUGUGAAAUUCCGGGGCUUAACUCCGGGCGUGCAGGCGAUACGGGCAUAACUUGAGUACUGUAGGGGUAACUGGAAUUCCUGGUGUAGCGGUGAAAUGCGCAGAUAUCAGGAGGAACACCGAUGGCGAAGGCAGGUUACUGGGCAGUUACUGACGCUGAGGAGCGAAAGCAUGGGUAGCGAACAGG
rnacentral:rRNA from 1 species